AUUGAACGCUGGCGGCAGGCUUAACACAUGCAAGUCGAGCGGGGGAGGGUAGCUUGCUACUGGACCUAGCGGCGGACGGGUGAGUAAUGCUUAGGAAUCUGCCUAUUAGUGGGGGACAACAUCUCGAAAGGGAUGCUAAUACCGCAUACGUCCUACGGGAGAAAGCAGGGGAUCUUCGGACCUUGCGCUAAUAGAUGAGCCUAAGUCGGAUUAGCUAGUUGGUGGGGUAAAGGCCUACCAAGGCGACGAUCUGUAGCGGGUCUGAGAGGAUGAUCCGCCACACUGGGACUGAGACACGGCCCAGAUUCCUACGGGAGGCAGCAGUGGGGAAUAUUGGACAAUGGGGGGAACCCUGAUCCAGCCAUGCCGCGUGUGUGAAGAAGGCCUUAUGGUUGUAAAGCACUUUAAGCGAGGAGGAGGCUACUUUAGUUAAUACCUAGAGAUAGUGGACGUUACUCGCAGAAUAAGCACCGGCUAACUCUGUGCCAGCCGCCGCCGUAA
rnacentral:rRNA from 1 species